AGAAAAUCGGGAGUUUCUGAGUGCUGCAAAAGGCAGCAAGAAAUACACCUGGCAAAUGUAGACCAGCCUCCAUGAGGUUGCCUUCAUACUCCUCUCUGCGGAAUCUCUUAUCAUCUUCAUGAUAGUCCAUGACUCUGUUUAAGAAAAUGGCUGGAAUAAAUGCAUCGAAGUUUGAAACCUCAGUUGUUCCCAACACACACUGAAAUACAACAGAGAAGAGCAUAUUGUUCUGCCAACCUUUGCAUGAAUAUAAGGAUUAGAGUCUCUCAUGUCAAACAAAGAAUUAGUUUCAUUGCCAUGUAAGAAAUAUGGGUCCAAUUUCUACAGUGGCAAUGCUGGAGAAUUUAAAAAUCAUUCAGCGAUUGGCAGUAAAAAUAAACAUCAUUUUUACCUGUGUGAAAUAAUUGUUUAAAAAUCAUAUUAUAGGUCCUUUCCAAAAGGGGCUUUGGUAUUGCAAAUUUGUUACUAGAAUCCUUAAAAUUAUGGCACCAUGUUUACUAUUAUUUAUUGUAUUACAGUAGUAUUCAGAGUCUGGUCAUGGCCCCAUCAUACUA